GGUCAAGCUACAAAGGGCUCACGGUGGAUACCUAGGCACAAGAAGGCGAUGAAGGACGUGGUUACCUACGAUAAGCUGCGGGGAGCUGGAAGCAAGCCCUGAUCCGCAGGUUUCCGAAUGGGGCAACCCUAUAUACUGCCCGUUGAAUAAAAUAGACGGGAAAGAGCGAACUCAGCGAAUUGAAACAUCUUAGUAGCUGAAGGAAGAGAAAAUAAAUAAUGAUUUCCUAAGUAGCGGCGAGCGAACGGGAACCAGCCCAAACCAGUUGGCAUGACCGACUGGGGUUAUAGGACAGCAACACUGUACAACAGAGACUAGAUGAAGUGUUUGGAAUGACACGCCAAAGAGAGUGAAAGCCUCGUAAUUAAAAAUCAAAGUUGGCAAGCUGAAUCCUGAGUAGCACGGUACACGAGAAAUUCCGUGUGAAUUCGCGAGGACCACCUCGUAAGGCUAAAUACUCACUUGUGACCGAUAGUGAACCA
rnacentral:rRNA from 1 species